rnacentral:rRNA from 1 species
GACGUAGGUGGCGAGCGUUGUCCGGAAUUACUGGGCGUAAAGGGCGUGUAGGCGGCCUGCUAAGUCAGACGUGAAAUCCUUGGGCUUAACCUAGGGACUGCGUUUGAUACUGGUGGGCUUGAGGACGGGAGAGGAAAGUGGAACUCCGUGUGUAGCGGUGAAAUGCGUAGAUAUACGGAAGAACACCAGUGGCGAAGGCGACUUUCUGGACCGUCCCUGACGCUGAGGCGCGAAAGCCAGGGGAGCGAACGGG